rnacentral:rRNA from 1 species
GUAGGUGGCAAGCGUUGUCCGGAAUUAUUGGGCGUAAAGCGCGCGCAGGCGGUUCUUUAAGUCUGAUGUGAAAGCCCACGGCUCAACCGUGGAGGGUCAUUGGAAACUGGAGAACUUGAGUACAGAAGAGGAAAGCGGAAUUCCACGUGUAGCGGUGAAAUGCGUAGAGAUGUGGAGGAACACCAGUGGCGAAGGCGGCUUUCUGGUCUGUAACUGACGCUGAGGCGCGAAAGCGUGGGGAGCAAACAGGAUUAGAUACCCUGGUAGUCCACGCCGUAAACGAUGAGUGCUAAUGUUAGGGGGUUUCCGCCCCCCUUAGUGCUGCAGCUAACGCAUUAAGCACUCCGCCUGGGAGUACGACCGCAAGGUUG